GGUAUGGAACCGGACUAUGUAUCGGACUAUCCAUAAUAUAUAUCUUGAUCUCAACUGGAAAUAUGAAAUGGCUUGAAAGAAUCUUUGAAGAGCUUGAACACAAAAUUAUGAUGGCAAGGAGAAAGAAGCAGCGAAGGCAAAGGAAUUACAUAAGAAGAAAUAAUCAAUUCUAGAACUUAGAGAUGUCAAGGAUAAGAAGACGUUGGCAUGUGGAGUUGGUUACUCCUAUUGUUCACUAUUAAGCUUAAUUUUGAGAGAUGUCUUCAUUUACAUUUGUUCUUCUUUAGUUUGUAUUAAUCUACUUACGCUUUAUUAACUUAAAUAUAUUUUUCAAGUUCAUAUGCUCAA